rnacentral:rRNA from 1 species
GGAAUGGGACGCCAGAGAGGGUGAGAGCCCCGUAUAGUUGGACGCCAACCCUCUGUAAAGCUCCUUCGACGAGUCGAGUAGUUUGGGAAUGCUGCUCAAAAUGGGAGGUAAAUUUCUUCUAAAGCUAAAUACUGGCCAGAGACCGAUAGCGCACAAGUAGAGUGAUCGAAAGAUGAAAAGCACUUUGAAAAGAGGGUUAAACAGCACGUGAAAUUGUUGAAAGGGAAGCGCUCACGACCAGACUUGUGCCGGGCGAAUCAUCCAGCGUUCUCGCUGGUGCACUUCACCCGGUUCAGGCCAGCAUCGGUUUUCCUAGGGGGAUAAAAGCUCUGGGAAUGUAGCUCUUCGGAGUGUUAUAGCCCUCUGCAGAAUACCCCUGGGGGGACCGAGGUACGCGCUUCUGCAAGGAUGCUGGCGUAAUGGUCUUCAGCGACCCGUCUUGAAACACGGACCAAGGAGUCAAGCAGUAGGGCGAGUGUUUGGGUGUAAAACCCGCACGCGUAAUGAAAGUGAACGUAGGUGAGAGCUUCGGCGCAUCAUCGACCGAUCCUGAUGUAUUCGGAUGGAUUUGAGUAAGAGCCUUACCGCUUGGACCCGAAAGAUGGUGAACUAUGCCUGUAUAGGGUGAAGCCAGAGGAAACUCUGGUGGAGGCUCGCAGCGGUUCUGACGUGCAAAUCGAUCGUCAAAUAUGGGCAUGGGGGCGAAAGACUAAUCGAACCAUCUAGUAGCUGGUUACCGCCGAAGUUUCCCUCAGGAUAGCAGUGUUGUUUUCAGUUUUAUGAGGUAAAGCGAAUGAUUAGGGACUCGGGGGCGCUUUAUUGCCUUCAUCCAUUCUCAAACUUUAAAUAUGUAAGAAGCCCUUGUUACUUAAUUGAACGUGGGCAUUCGAAUGUAUCAACACUAGUGGGCCAUUUUUGGUAAGCAGAACUGGCGAUGCGGGAUGAACCGAACGCGGGGUUAAGGUGCCAGAGUGGACGCUCAUCAGACACCA